UACGUAGGGGGCUAGCGUUAUCCGGAAUUACUGGGCGUAAAGGGUGCGUAGGUGGUUUCUUAAGUCAGAGGUGAAAGGCUACGGCUCAACCGUAGUAAGCCUUUGAAACUGAGAAACUUGAGUGCAGGAGAGGAGAGUAGAAUUCCUAGUGUAGCGGUGAAAUGCGUAGAUAUUAGGAGGAAUACCAGUUGCGAAGGCGGCUCUCUGGACUGUAACUGACACUGAGGCACGAAAGCGUAGGGAGCAAACAGGAUUAGAUACCCUGGUAGUCCCUGA
rnacentral:rRNA from 1 species